CACGUAGGGUGCGAGCGUUGUCCGGAAUUAUUGGGCGUAAAGAGCGCGUAGGCGGUCCGGUAAGUCGGUUGUGAAAACUGGGGGCUCAACCCUCAGAGGCCGACCGAUACUGCCGGGCUAGAGUCCGGAAGAGGCGAGUGGAAUUCCUGGUGUAGCGGUGAAAUGCGCAGAUAUCAGGAGGAACACCAAUGGCGAAGGCAGCUCGCUGGGACGGUACUGACGCUGAGGCGCGAAAGCGUGGGGAGCAAACAGG
rnacentral:rRNA from 1 species